rnacentral:rRNA from 1 species
CGGGCAGUGGGUGCCAGGUGGCGCGGUAAGUGGUGGGGGGCGAGGUGUGUCUGGAGUUAUGGGGCGGAAAGGUGUUGUAGGGGGCCAGGCAGGUCCGUUGGGAAAACUCGGGGCUCAACCUCGAGACGCCGAUGGAAACCGCAUGGCUAGAGUCCGGAAGAGGAGAGUGGAAUUCCUGGUGUAGCGGUGAAAUGCGCAGAUAUCAGGAAGAACACCCGUGGCUAAGGCGGCUCUCUAGUACGGUACUGACGCUGAGACGCGAAAGCGUGGGGAGCGAACAGGAUUAGAUACCCCUGUAGC